rnacentral:rRNA from 1 species
CCACCAGACUCCUACGGGAGGCAGCAGUGGGGAAUAUUGCACAAUGGGGGGAACCCUGAUGCAGCGACGCCGCGUGGGCGAAGGAGCGCCUCGGUGCGUAAAGCCCUAUCGGCAGGGAAGAAACAGACGGUACCUGACUAAGAAGCCCCGGCUAACUACGUGCCAGCAGCCGCGGUAAUACGUAGGGGGCAAGCGUUAUCCGGAUUCACUGGGUGUAAAGGGAGCGUAGACGGCGACGCAAGUCUGGAGUGAAAGCCCGGGGCCCAACCCCGGGACUGCUCUGGAAACUGCGGCGCUGGAGUACGGGAGGGGCAGGCGGAAUUCCUGGUGUAGCGGUGAAAUGCGUAGAUAUCAGGAGGAACACCGGCGGCGAAGGCGGCCUGCUGGACCGUGACUGACGUUGAGGCUCGAGAGCGUGGGGAGCAAACAGGAUUAGAUACCCUGGUACUG